GACGCACUUCACUUUCGAGCAGCAGCACUCGAAGACCCACCGACCCCAGCCAUCAUGAUCAAGGUUCUGAUCCUCCUGGCCGUGCUGGCUCUCUUCGCCGUCUCGCAGGCUGUGGCGGCACCACAGUACUACGUCGCUGACGGCCUGUACUACGGAUACCCUUAUGCCGCCUACUACGGCGCACACUACCCUUACUACUACUACGGACGCUAAGCGCUAUGUAAAACUCGAGCACCGACACGUCAUGGUCACUUUUCCGAAAGCAACUCAACUUGCUAACACAUCCCAUUACUCACAGUCACUGGCACUCUU